rnacentral:lncRNA from 1 species
CCCCGAGCGGAGCGGGCCCAGGACCCUAUCGGCUGUCGAGCCGGUGCUGCCGCGGCCACCGCCACCGCCCAGGGGCUCCGGGGCUGUGGGGAGCGGCUGAACUCAAUACCGCCUCCGCGCUGACUGGAAGGCACUGCGGCCGCGCCUGCCUGCCCCACCUCGUAAGGGCCUGUGACCUCACGAGGCCAGCCGCCGGGCGCUGCAUUCGAGCGGUGGGGCUCCUGUCCGUGCGCUUUCCUCCCGCAGCCCCGGCCGGGAUUCCGCCCUCCGUCCUUGCCACCCGCUCGCCACUCUUCCCUAAUCGCUGUUCAUUCUCCGAACUUCAGAUUGAAAAGCAUGUACUUGAGUAGCUGUAUUUAAGGAAUUACACCCAAGAAGUCUCAUCUUCCCUGGACUUACGUAGAGGAUAAGAUUCUGAACUUUGAAUUGAUGCUAUAAUGGGAUAAGACUUUGGGGCCUUAGAAGGGAGACCAGGACCUGCCAGCCAAGACAAUAUUUUGGGUUCUUUCCCAAAAUACUUAGUCAUCUAAAAUCAUAACCCUAUUGAAAGCUGCCUUCCUGUUCAACCCCAGUCAACAACUAAAACAGAGGCAUGUCACCCCUCUGGGGGUCAGGCUGAGUAUACUCUGCAGAGCUCUGCUUCCCACAAAUGUCAGGAGAACAAAGGCCAUGAAGGUGUUAAAGGGAAGCAAGCGAUCGACAGCAUUGGUUGGUGACAAACCUGUGGCUGGUCUGUGUAUGAUGGGAUGGAUUCCUCCUGCUCCCAGAAGGCACUGUACUUUCAGUGUUCAGGGCAGCCUUGCCUUAGUGCCUCAAACCUAUCCCUACAUCCUGCAGUAAACUUGGAAAGGUAACACCUCUAACCAUCAGGCCUUCCUCUGAAGCACAGUCAAGUUGCUCUUGGCAACCAUCUCAAUUUUAAUAGUGCAGAUGCCAUGUGCUGUAAAGUCCUAAAAUUUAAAUUCUUUAUUUCUUGACAUCAUUGCCUCAAAAAA